rnacentral:rRNA from 1 species
UGGGGAAUCUUGCGCAAUGGGCGAAAGCCUGACGCAGCGACGCCGCGUGCGGGAGGAAGCUCUUCGGGGUGUAAACCGCUGUCAGGGGGGAAGAACGGGCCGGGGAGGCAAUGCCCCGGUUUUGACGGUACCCCCAGAGGAAGCACCGGCUAACUCUGUGCCAGCAGCCGCGGUAAUACAGAGGGUGCGAGCGUUGUUCGGAAUUACUGGGCGUAAAGCGCGCGCAGGCGGCCUUUUAAGUCUGGAGGUGAAAUGCCGGGGCUCAACCCCGUGCCCGCCACAGAUACUGGGAGGCUGGAGACGAGUAGAGGCAAGCGGAAUUCCGGGUGUAGCGGUGGAAUGCGUAGAGAUCCGGAAGAACACCGGAGGCGAAGGCGGCUUGCUGGGCUCGGUCUGACGCUGAGGCGCGAAAGCGUGGGGAGCGAACAGGAUUAGAUACCCUGGUAGUCCACGCCGUAAACGAUGGGCACUAGACGCUGGUGGGAUCGACCCCUUCGGUGUCGCAGCUAACGCGAUAAGUGCCCCGCCUGGGGAGUACGGCCGCAAGGCUGA